rnacentral:rRNA from 1 species
AGGAAAUAGAUACCCUGGUAGUCCUGGCCGUAAACGAUGACCACUAGAUGCGGGAGGUAUCGACCCCUUCCGUGUCGCAGCUCACGCGCUAAGUGGUCCGCCUGGGGAGUACGGUCGCAAGACUAAAACUCAAAGGAAUUGACGGGGACCCGCACAAGCAGCGGAGCGUGUGGUUUAAUUCGAAGCAACGCGAAGCACCUUACCAGGGCUUGACAUGCUCCUGCACCAGCGGUAACGCGCUGUCUCCUUCGGGAGCGGGAGCACAGGUGCUGCAUGGCUGUCGUCAGCUCGUGUCGUGAGAUGUUGGGUUUAAGUCCCGCAACGAGCGCAACCCCUGUGGUUGGUUGGACAGCUCUCCAGCCAGACUGCCGUGAGCAACACGGAGGAAGGUGGGGAUGACGUCAAGUCAGCAUGGCCCUGACGUCCUGGGCGACACACACGCUACAAUGGCCGGUCCAACGGGAAGCCAAACCCGCGAGGGGAGCCAAAUCUCAACAAAGCCGGUCUCAGUUCGGAUUGCAGG